rnacentral:rRNA from 1 species
AUGCAAGCGGGCGCAUUUGUUUGUGGCAGCCUGGUCUGCCAACUGCUCCGUUGCCUUUUCUCGAGAGUCCUCUCAAGUCUGAGGCGCGGCGGUGUCGUCAUCGUCGCGUCAGUUCCAAUUCCAAUCCGAACCCCAGCCAUGCCGCCGCCGGCCCCCGCCGGCACGCCCCUCGCCGACCUCCUCGAGCCCGCCACCUUCGCGCCCCCCGCGCCGGCUCCCCCGCCUCCCACCCCCGCCGCCAUCCUCUCCGCGUGGUCGCACCUCCGCAGCGCCGCUCCCUCCCCCGCGGCCACCCUCGCCGCCCUCGAGACCCUCCACCUGCACCGCCGCUCGCUCCGUCUCAGCUCCGCGCACCUCGAGCUGCUCCUGCCGCUUCUCCCGCUCCACCCGCGCCUCGUCUCCCCGCUGCUCGCCACCUGCCCGCGUCUCCUCCUCAACUAUUCGCUCCCCUUUGCCCCCCUCCCCCUCGCCCCUCGGCUGCUCCUCCUGGGGACGCUCGCCACCGCCAAGGGCUCCAAGAAUUCCACCAGCAAUGGCACCUCAGGGAGCCCCAGCACGGGGAAUCUCGGGAGUGACCAUGGUAGCGACGACCCCGUUGUGUCUGUGAGUCGCAUUCUAGAGAAUAUGGAGCGGCUGGUGUCGGGGUUCGUCGGGUCGAGGAUGAUGCGCAAGGUUCAGGUUCUGUUCGAGGUAAUUUCACCAGAGAAGUGUGAGAGUGAGGGUUAUGUGCUGUUUCCGGCGGUGAUGGCGGCUUGCGGUGGACUACGGGCAUUGAGGGUUGCUUCGGUGAGACAUCGGUUGGACUUUGCCCCAAAAUUGAAGGAGGCUCCUGAACGGACCAUUUGUUUUGCAGCUCGGAGGGCAACUGUAGAUGAGAGAUACGACGAUGAUCAGCGACAUGUCCUUCUUCAGUGUGUUGCAUUAGGUUUGACACAGUGUGGGCCGGUAGCGCCUAAUGAUUCAGUGUUAAGGUGUGUUCUUAUGGCACUGCUGGAGGAGCUCCUUCCUCUUCCACGUCUGCUUAGGAUCUCAGUCAAGAGUCCAGAUGGAAAUUCAGCUGAGCUUGCCAAAAAUCAGGUCAAGCAACACCAGGAUAGUGUCCUGUUCAAAGAGGCAGGGCCAGUGACUGGGGUUCUGUGCAAUCAGUAUUCAUUUGCUGAUGAGAAGACUAAAGAUUAUGUUGAAACUCGUGUAUGUGAAUAUGCGCAAGAGCUGUAUCAUCAUCUUCGUGCAGCAGUGUUGCUGCACCAGGCAAAACGGAAUGGUUUGCUUGCGGAGAUUGAUAAGAUCGCUGAGGCGGCAUUUUUUAUGAUUGUAAGCUUUGCGGCAGAGGUCGCGAAACACAGGUUGGAUGCAAACUCCUCAGGGGGGUUCCAGCCAGAGGUUGCUGUUAGGAUCUUGGUGGAAUUCUCUUUUGUGGAACAUCUGAGACGUUUGCGUCUUCCAGAGUACACUGAAGCAAUCCGGCGUGCUGUUGUUGUUAAUCAGGAUAAUGCGGCAGCCAGUGCUUUAUUCAUUGAGUCAAUGCCUUCAUGUGCUGAAUUGACAACCAAACCAGAUUUACUAACCUUGGAUGGAACAAGAUAUAUCUGUUACGCAGAUGAGGUUCAGACGUCACGCAUCUUGUUUUAUCUGCGGGUUAUGCCUACUUGUAUUAGCCUUAUUCCAACUCAUCUAAUUCGGGAUAAAUUAGCUCCGGUCAUAUUCCUAUAUAUACAGCAUUCAAAUGAAAAAAUAACACGUGCUGCGCACUCGGUGAUGGUAUCAUUCCUGUCAUCUGGUAAUGAUUCUGAUCAGGACGAUCGAGUGGCUUUGAAAGAGCAGCUUGCCUUUGACUAUAUCAGGAGAUCCUUGGAGGCUUAUCCUGGGGUAACUCCAUUUGAAGGAUUAGCGUCAGGAGUUGUGGCGCUUGUUCGGCAUCUUCCUGCAAAAAGCCCUGCCAUUCUUUUUUGUAUCCAUAGCCUUGUUGUGAAAGCCAAAGAUCUUUGCACUACUGCGAUGAUUCAGGACAGAUCGUUGUGGAGGUCAUGGGAAGAGAGCACAGAGCCCUGUAAGAAAGUAUUGGACUUGUUGCUGCGGCUCAUCUUCCUUGUCGAUAUUCAGUCAUUCUCUUAUCUGCUCAAGGAGCUGGCGGAAUUUGUCACCUCACUGCCAAAGGAAGGCCAGGAUGUGCUCCUCGAUGACAUGCACGCCCACGUUGCAGAAUCUGACGAUGUUGUACGGAAGCCUGUGCUCGUGUCGUGGUUGCAGUCCCUAUCCUACAUAAGCUCACAAGCUGAUGUUCGUGAAUCUCGCAAUAACGCGAAAAAUGCUCGAUCUGCGGGUGGGGUUGAGCUGAGCCUGAACAGAACUAUUGCACGCUUGUGA